CCCCGCGGGCCCAGCGGCCCCAGGCCGGGCCGGAGAGCGCCGAGCCGCCAGGCAGUGGAGGAAGAGAGGAGGAGGACCCGGAGUCUCGCCGCGGGAGGGUGCCCAGGGCGAGGGCGUGCGAGGGGGAGUGACUCCGCGCGCGAGGGGCAGCAGCACCUGCUUGAGACCAAGCCCGGCGACCUGGCAAGGUGGGGCCCCCUACCGCGCAAUCUUUGCGGCUGGCCCCCGGCUCUCAGCUCCGAGUGCAGAGGCUGAAGAGGUACCCGGGGGACACACUGCCUCUAACCCCACCUAUGAGCCGCUCUCCUCUCGGAGGACGAAGGCACCAUCAGAAGGUCGAGAUUCGCCCUCCUCUCCCGCCACGUCUACCCACUACCUAGACCGGGAGUCUGGACUUGGGAGCGUGAACUCUCACCCGAGCCGGUCCCCUUACAACUGGAGCCCGCCCAGCCCCUCAGUCCCUCCCUGAAGCCCAUGGGUCCCCACUGCUCCGUGCCUCGUCGACCCAGGAUGGGGAGUGGGAAGGUCAGCAUGUGCCCACAGGGCCAGGUGUCCGGCCCAGAUUCCCACCCUCAGGGCGGCGGCGCGCAAAGGGCGCAGUCCCCGCCGCUGGGCGGACCCGCGGCUCCGGCUUUCCCGGUGUCUCCAGCCUCGGUGCCCGGAAUCCUGGAUCUCGGCCUGGCGCUCCGGAAGCGAGGCAGCUCCGUGCCCCAGCAGGGACGGGGAACGCUUGGCUUGAGAGAUCACAUUUCUGGGUGUGGAGAGGAUGUCAAUCACAUAUCCAGAAUAUCACCUCCUUGGGCACAGCCAGGGCAUGGUCCAUUGAAAAUGUUCCUGAUUGCUGGAAGCUGACGGCUCACCAUAAAAGCCAAAAUGGGGACCUGUCAAAAAUGUUUUAGCCAAACUAUGGCUUGGCUCAGGAAGAUGCCAAGACCAAAGGCUGCUGAACUUUAAGUAUAAACUUGCAUGAAAAGCACAUUGCAGGUCUGAGACAGUGGAGGCUUAGUGGUGAGAACAUGAGCUCUGGAUAGACCUGGCUUCAAGUCUUGGCUCUGUCAUUCACCAGCUGUGUGAAUUUGGGCAAACCACUUUUCUUCUCUGAUGCUCAGUUCCCUCACCUAGCAAAAUGGGUUAUAAUGAUGGCAUCAACUCAUAAGGUUCAUGAGGACUGAGCUAGAUAAUGCAAACAACAUGUUUCAUAUACAAUAAUAAAUAAAAAUGUUGGCUGUUAUAAUAUUGUCACUGAGUCUACAUGUAUCUGAAACUAGCUCUUUUAAAUCCUGGGUACAGCUUUACAAGCAGUAUUGUGUAGUUUAGACAGAUCACCUGAGUUCUUUCUAUGUAAUUAUUGUUUCUACUGAACCUUGGUAAAUGUGUGAAAUCACAGAAGUUUGUCCCUAGACACUCCCCUCACCCCACUGGCUCCUCUCUCCAUUCUGUGCAACCCCAUUUCUGCAGCCUUGAGCUUCAGCCCAUUUCUCUCCAUUUCCUCCUCAUUAGCAAGAACUGAUAAAAUUAUUUGAACUGAUAUGUA
rnacentral:lncRNA from 1 species